GACGAACGCUGGCGGCGUGCUUAACACAUGCAAGUCGAACGGAAAGGCCCUGCUUUUGUGGGGUGCUCGAGUGGCGAACGGGUGAGUAACACGUGAGUAACCUGCCCUUGACUUUGGGAUAACUUCAGGAAACUGGGGCUAAUACCGGAUAGGAGCUCCUGCUGCAUGGUGGGGGGUGGAAAGUUUCGGCGGUUGGGGAUGGACUCGCGGCUUAUCAGCUUGUUGGUGGGGUAGUGGCUUACCAAGGCUUUGACGGGUAGCCGGCCUGAGAGGGUGACCGGCCACAUUGGGACUGAGAUACGGCCCAGACUCCUACGGGAGGCAGCAGUGGGGAAUAUUGCACCAUGGGCGGAAGCCUGAUGCAGCAACGCCGCGUGCGGGAUGACGGCCUUCGGGUUGUAAACCGCUUUCGCCUGUGACGAAGCGUGAGUGACGGUAAUGGGUAAAGAAGCACCGGCUAACUACGUG
rnacentral:rRNA from 1 species